rnacentral:rRNA from 1 species
UACGUAGGUGGCAAGCGUUGUCCGGAUUUACUGGGUGUAAAGGGCGUGUAGGCGGACUUUUAAGUCAGGUGUGAAAUACCGGGGCUCAACCCCGGAGCUGCACUUGAAACUGGAAGCCUUGAGUGCCGGAGAGGAAAGCGGAAUUCCUAGUGUAGCGGUGAAAUGCGUAGAUAUUAGGAGGAACACCAGUGGCGAAGGCGGCUUUCUGGACGGUAACUGACGCUGAGGCGCGAAAGCGUGGGGAGCAAAC